rnacentral:rRNA from 1 species
UACGUAGGUGGCAAGCGUUGUCCGGAUUUACUGGGCGUAAAGGGCGUGCAGGCGGUCUGUUAAGUCUAGGGUGAAAGCUCCCGGCUCAACUGGGAGAGGUCCUUGGAUACUGGCGGACUUGAGGGAUGCAGAGGAAAGUGGAAUUCCCGGUGUAGUGGUGAUAUGCGUAGAUAUCGGGAGGAACACCAGUGGCGAAGGCGGCUUUCUGGGCAUUACCUGACGCUGAGACGCGAAAGCGUGGGGAGCGAACCGG